CGCUGGCGGCGUGCCUAAUACAUGCAAGUCGAGCGAACAGAUAAGGAGCUUGCUCCUUUGACGUUAGCGGCGGACGGGUGAGUAACACGUGGGUAACCUACCUAUAAGACUGGAAUAACUCCGGGAAACCGGGGCUAAUGCCGGAUAACAUUUAGAACCGCAUGGUUCUAAAGUGAAAGAUGGUUUUGCUAUCACUUAUAGAUGGACCCGCGCCGUAUUAGCUAGUUGGUAAGGUAACGGCUUACCAAGGCAACGAUACGUAGCCGACCUGAGAGGGUGAUCGGCCACACUGGAACUGAGACACGGUCCAGACUCCUACGGGAGGCAGCAGUAGGGAAUCUUCCGCAAUGGGCGAAAGCCUGACGGAGCAACGCCGCGUGAGUGAUGAAGGUCUUCGGAUCGUAAAACUCUGUUAUUAGGGAAGAACAAAUGUGUAAGUAACUAUGCACGUCUUGACGGUACCUAAUCAGAAAGCCACGGCUAACUACGUGCCAGCAGCCGCGGUAAUACGUAGGUGGCAAGCGUUAUCCGGAAUUAUUGGGCGUAAAGCGCGCGUAGGCGGUUUCUUAAGUCUGAUGUGAAAGCCCACGGCUCAACCGUGGAGGGUCAUUGGAAACUGGGAAACUUGAGUGCAGAAGAGGAAAGUGGAAUUCCAUGUGUAGCGGUGAAAUGCGCAGAGAUAUGGAGGAACACCAGUGGCGAAGGCGACUUUCUGGUCUGUAACUGACGCUGAUGUGCGAAAGCGUGGGGAUCAAACAGGAUUAGAUACCCUGGUAGUCCACGCCGUAAACGAUGAGUGCUAAGUGUUAGGGGGUUUCCGCCCCUUAGUGCUGCAGCUAACGCAUUAAGCAC
rnacentral:rRNA from 1 species